GAAAAAAGUUACGUUCUGAAAAUGAAGAUUUAACUUUAAAGUUGUCGAGUGCGGAAGAAAAAAUAAAAUCUUUGGAAGCUCGAGUGCAGAAGGCUGAGUUCCACUAAAGCAAUUUAGAAAGCAAGUUGCUUGAAAUUUUUAUGCCCCGGCAAAUAAAAAAUAUAAAAAUUGGUACCCUAAGGAGAUCAAAUUGGUCGGAAGAGGAUAUAGCUAGGUCUAUAACCUUAUACUCAUCUAGUUCAAGAGCGUACAAAUUACUGAAAAGAACAAAUUUUCCACUUCCCGCUGAACGAACACUUUAAACCUGGGCUCAGAAACUAGAUAUAACACCAGGAGUCAUGAAGCCUGUUUAAAAAUUAUGAAAGCGUCAAAGGAGCUGACUCCCAAUCAAAAACUAUGUGUUCUUAGUUUUGACGAAAUGGAAGUUGGUACAAACCGAAAUGACUUAGGUGGUACAAACCGAGGGCUAUACACUGAGCUUAAAGUCAGCAUGGAUACGCCAUGGUAUGAAGGGGAAAGAUUGUGAAAAAGGACAUCAUUUUAAAACUCCUUUCGUUCACAUCUGGAGAGUUGAGCAUAACUCACAAAAUUUCUCCAGGGAGCAUUAAUGUUGUCAAAGCGGAUCAACAAAAAGUGAAUCUGGCAACGAAGUUGUUUUUGCACACUGUUUGCUAAAGCUUUAUCGAGGGCAGUGGGACUUGGGCUUCUUCAAGACGAAAGCUGGCAAGAAUGCUACAACUUGCUAAAAUAUACAAACGAUUGGUUAUGAUUGGACGUUAUGAAAGUACGGUCACCAUACAGUGAUGCCAGGGAGACAGUCCAUGCUUAUGGACUUCAUUUGGAAUCACAGGACGAGAUUCUCAAUAAAAUGUCUGAUAUGGUUUGUAAUAUGCGGGUCAUAGGAAAAAAUACUAUGCUUCCAUUUCAAAAAGGUAUUGUGCAAUCUAAUACUGCCUUACAGUUGCUGUAAUAAGACAUGAAAAAUCGUUAUGACAUUAAGUUCAUAAUGACUUACCGGUUGAACCAAGAUGUUUUGGAAAACUUUCUUGGCCACAAUGAAGGUGCACUAACGGAGUAAUCUUAUCAAAUCAUGUGUUCCGUUUCUUGAUUUGCAUUUUUUAGGAAAGAUUUUUAACACA